UUUAACACCUCAAAAUUUCAAUAGCAGCUUCACCUCAAAAGUUAGCGUCGUGAGAUUAGCCCCUCUUUUUCAAGAUCAAAACGAUAUCUCUCCCUCUUUUUCACAAUACAAGAUAAAAAUCAUGUCUCUCUCCCUUUUUCUCUCACGCUCAUUGUCGAUCAGCCAUAGGCCGUCGUCACACAGCCGAUUUCGCUGCCUUCUCUCCGUCUAUUUCGCCGGCUUAUACCUCCGAUUUCAUCGCGUUAAGCCGCUGAUUUCGACUCUCACCGUCAUCUGCAGGUAUAUACAUACAUCGCUGCGGAAAGUAUCUGGUCGGGAACCGGAAAAUUACGCGGUACGGGUUGCGAUACAAAAUAACAACAAGAACAAUAACUUUUUUGGGUCCUAGACUUGUGGUUUAAAUGUAUAACAAUUAAAGGGUAUCUAAUGUUAUCUUUGUGUCAGUAACGCCGUCAGUCUAUCACACCGUAAAAAGCAAAAAUCCCAUAUAGUUGAAGUAAAGUAGAUAUAAAAAGAUGCUGCUGUGCUGUGUGAUGCCACCACUGCCACUAUCUAUGUCACAUUGUCACAUCCUCAUAUAACGGCAACUGCUAGUUCUUUUGUACUUCCUUCCGAAUCUUUGUUACUUUUCACAAUCUUUUUCCCUCCUCAUUAAACAUGUCUUAUUAAAUUAUGAAUUUGGAAUGAAAUGAUAAAAUCUUUUUCACUCUUUUGCUAUGUACAAUAAAAGGCUAUGAAAGUAUGAAACGAAUUCGAACGAUAUUUGCUCAUUUUCUUUCGUAUGUUUAAUAAACGAUUAUUCCCUCUGAA